rnacentral:rRNA from 1 species
GACGAACGCUGGCGGCGUGCUUAACACAUGCAAGUCGAACGGAAAGGCCCUGCUUUUGUGGGGUGCUCGAGUGGCGAACGGGUGAGUAACACGUGAGUAACCUGCCCUUGACUUUGGGAUAACUUCAGGAAACUGGGGCUAAUACCGGAUAGGAGCUCCUGCUGCAUGGUGGGGGUUGGAAAGUUUCGGCGGUUGGGGAUGGACUCGCGGCUUAUCAGCUUGUUGGUGGGGUAGUGGCUUACCAAGGCUUUGACGGGUAGCCGGCCUGAGAGGGUGACCGGCCACAUUGGGACUGAGAUACGGCCCAGACUCCUACGGGAGGCAGCAGUGGGGAAUAUUGCACAAUGGGCGGAAGCCUGGUGCAGCAACGCCGCGUGCGGGAUGACGGCCUUCGGGUUGUAAACCGCUUUCGCCUGUGACGAAGCGUGAGUGACGGUAAUGGGUAAAGAAGCACCGGCUAACUACGUGCCAGCAGCCGCGGUGAUACGUAGGGUGCGAGCGUUGUCCGGAUUUAUUGGGCGUAAAGGGCUCGUAGGUGGUUGAUCGCGUCGGAAGUGUAAUCUUGGGGCUUAACCCUGAGCGUGCUUUCGAUACGGGUUGACUUGAGGAAGGUAGGGGAGAAUGGAAUUCCUGGUGGAGCGGUGGAAUGCGCAGAUAUCAGGAGGAACACCAGUGGCGAAGGCGGUUCUCUGGGCCUUUCCUGACGCUGAGGAGCGAAAGCGUGGGGAGCGAACAGGCUUAGAUACCCUGGUAGUCCACGCUGUAAACGGUGGGUACUAGGUGUGGGGUCCAUUCCACGGGUUCCGUGCCGUAGCUAACGCUUUAAGUACCCCGCCUGGGGAGUACGGCCGCAAGGCUAAAACUCAAAGGAAUUGACGGGGCCCCGCACAAGCGGCGGAGCAUGCGGAUUAAUUCGAUGCAACGCGUAGAACCUUACCUGGGUUUGACAUGGAUCGGGAGCGCUCAGAGAUGGGUGUGCCUCUUUUGGGGUCGGUUCACAGGUGGUGCAUGGCUGUCGUCAGCUCGUGUCGUGAGAUGUUGGGUUAAGUCCCGCAACGAGCGCAACCCUUGUUCACUGUUGCCAGCACGUUAUGGUGGGGACUCAGUGGAGACCGCCGGGGUCAACUCGGAGGAAGGUGGGGAUGACGUCAAGUCAUCAAGCCCCUUAUGUCCAGGGCUUCACGCAUGCUACAAUGGCUGGUACAGAGAGUGGCGAGCCUGUGAGGGUGAGCGAAUCUCGGAAAGCCGGUCUCAGUUCGGAUUGGGGUCUGCAACUCGACCUCAUGAAGUCGGAGUCGCUAGUAAUCGCAGAUCAGCAACGCUGCGGUGAAUACGUUCCCGGGGCU